rnacentral:rRNA from 1 species
AACGAACGCUGGCGGCGCGCUUAACACAUGCAAGUCGAACGCAUGCUUGAUCUUCGGGUUGGGCAUGAGUGGCGGACGGGUGAGUAACGCGUGGGAACCUGCCCUGAGGUUCGGGACAACCGUGGGAAACUGCGGCUAAUACCGGAUAUCUCCUUUGGGAGAAAGACUUGUCGCCUUGGGAGGGGCCCGCGUCGGAUUAGCUUGUUGGUGGGGUAACGGCCUACCAAGGCAUCGAUCCGUAGCUGGUCUGAGAGGAUGAUCAGCCACACUGGGACUGAGACACGGCCCAGACUCCUACGGGAGGCAGCAGUGGGGAAUCUUGGACAAUGGGGGCAACCCUGAUCCAGCGACGCCGCGUGGGUGACGAAGGCCUCGGUUGUAAGCCUUUCUUCGGGAGAGUGAUGACGGUACCCGAGGAAGUAAGCACCGGCUAACUCCGUGCCAGCAGCCGCGGUAAGU